CCCUCCCUCUUUCUUCAUGCCUAACACAUGCAAGUCGAACGAGACCUUCGGGUCUAGUGGCGCACGGGUGCGUAACGUGUGGGAACCUGCCCUUAGGUUCGGAAUAACUCCCCGAAAGGGGUGCUAAUACCGGAUAAUGUCUUCGGACCAAAGAUUUAUCGCCUUUGGAUGGGCCCGCGUUGGAUUAGCUAGUUGGUAGGGUAAAAGCCUACCAAGGCGACGAUCCAUAGCUGGUCUGAGAGGAUGAUCAGCCACACUGGGACUGAGACACGGCCCAGACUCCUACGGGAGGCAGCAGUGGGGAAUAUUGGACAAUGGGCGAAAGCCUGAUCCAGCAAUGCCGCGUGAGUGAUGAAGGCCUUAGGGUUGUAAAGCUCUUUUACCCGGGAUGAUAAUGACAGUACCGGGAGAAUAAGCGCCGGCUAACUCCGUG
rnacentral:rRNA from 1 species